AGCGAACGCUGGCGGCAGGCCUAACACAUGCAAGUCGAACGGACCCUUCGGGGUUAGUGGCGGACGGGUGAGUAACACGUGGGAACGUGCCUUUAGGUUCGGAAUAGCUCCUGGAAACGGGUGGUAAUGCCGAAUGUGCCCUUCGGGGGAAAGAUUUAUCGCCUUUAGAGCGGCCCGCGUCUGAUUAGCUAGUUGGUGAGGUAACGGCUCACCAAGGCGACGAUCAGUAGCUGGUCUGAGAGGAUGACCAGCCACACUGGGCCUGAGACACGGCCCAGACUCCUACGGGAGGCAGCAGUGGGGAAUCUUGCGCAAUGGGCGAAAGCCUGACGCAGCCAUGCCGCGUGAAUGAUGAAGGUCUUAGGAUUGUAAAAUUCUUUCACCGGGGACGAUAAUGACGGUACCCGGAGAAGAAGCCCCGGCUAACUUCGUG
rnacentral:rRNA from 1 species